rnacentral:ncRNA from 1 species
CACCGCAAGGUGGGGUCCGGAGGAAGCCGGCCGGGAAACGCGCGGGCCCGACGAACAGAAACGUCGUAGUAGGCCGGCGUCGCGAGGCGAGGUGGCCAAGCACACCGAGCCGCGGAUUCGAGCGACGCAGGUAAACGGCGCGGGCCCCGGGGAAGGUUC